GUCAGCAACCCAAUCCCCUCAAAGGGAGAGGCUUGCGUAUUGUUGGGAGCGUUAUCCCAGGCUGUUGCAAGCGUUCCUGCUGACUAGUCUCAGCCAGGGCCUCUUCUGAGGCUAUCGGGCUACGUUCGGAAAGUCAUGCUACCUACAAAUGCCUACUCUAGUUUGUAGCUCUAGCGCCUGUGAUUAAAAGUUCUGGUGGGGAGGAACGGUGUUGCAGGCCGAAUAAGCUUUCUGAACCUUGACGAAGAGUACCGUAC
rfam:Ktedonobacter sp. 13_2_20CM_2_54_8 13_2_20cm_2_scaffold_28468, whole genome shotgun sequence.